GGCCCUCUUCAUUCCGUAUCUAGUGUCUCAAGCUUGUCAAAGCUGCGAAUUUCACAACUGUGAUCUGCAAAUUCGUAGACAAUCAAGAUGGCUUGGAAGGUUGUCUUGAAAGUGGACUCUUGCAACAAAUGCAAGGACAGGAUGAUGUCUCAGAUCUAUCACGGCGUCUCCGGUGUGAAGAAAGUGGAGGUUAACGAUCCCCUUUACAC